UACGUAGGGGGCAAGCGUUGUCCGGAAUCAUUGGGCGUAAAGCGCGUGUAGGCGGCCCGGUAAGUCCGCUGUGAAAGUCCAGGGCUCAACCCUGGGAUGCCGGUGGAUACUGUCGGGCUCGAGUCCGGAAGAGGAGAGUGGAAUUCCUGGUGUAGCGGUGAAAUGCGCAGAUAUCAGGAAGAACACCAAUGGCGAAGGCAGCUCUCUGGGACGGUACUGACGCUGAGACGCGAAAGCGUGGGGAGCGAACAGG
rnacentral:rRNA from 1 species